AGUAGCCUCUGCUCUGAGGCCCGAGGGGGAAGAGGUCUUUGGUCCCUUCGCUCCUAGGGCUGUCUGUAAGGCUCAGACCUUUUGCCAUGUUUCUUUUCAUGCUUCUCCUGCCUCCUUUCUUCCGGGGCUUUCUCCUUACCUGCCACUCCCUUGGCGAAUCGGCUUGUCACUAGAGCAUCAUCCUGUCUUAUAUACUUCUCAGCCCUCUUCAUUAGCUCGGCCAGUGAGGUCGGAGGCUUCCUGCUUAAUGAGCCGAAGAACUCGGCAGAGGUCGUCCCCUUCUACAUGGCCUCCACCGCC
rnacentral:lncRNA from 1 species